rnacentral:rRNA from 1 species
AUACGGAGGAUCCGAGCGUUAUCCGGAUUUAUUGGGUUUAAAGGGUGCGUAGGCGGCCUUUUAAGUCAGCGGUGAAAGUCUGUGGCUCAACCAUAGAAUUGCCGUUGAAACUGGGGGGCUUGAGUAUGUUUGAGGCAGGCGGAAUGCGUGGUGGAGCGGUGAAAUGCUUAGAUAUCACGCAGAACCCCGAUUGGGAAGGCAGCCUGCCAAGCCAUGACUGACGCUGAUGCACGAAAGCGUGGGGAUCAAACAGGAUUAGAUACCCUGGUAGUCCACGCAGUAAACGAUGAUCACUAGCUGUUUGCGAUACACUGUAAGCGGCACAGCGAAAGCGUUAAGUGAUCCACCUGGGGAGUACGCCGGCAACGGUGAAACUUAAAGGAAUUGACGGGG